UAGACGGAGCAGAUACAUGCACACACUGCGGAACUAGUGCUAUGAACAACUUCACAUACUACGUUAGUUACAAUCACAACAAGGACGACUACUUGAAAAAGAAAUCGUCCCAUAAUAGAGUCCGUUGGUUUGAGAGACACUUAUUCGAGCAUGUUGCUUCUGGGGAUAGGGACACCAUACGGGAGCAGUUUAGAAGCAUCGUAAGAUGUAUACAAAGACUUAGACUGCAACGGGGGCG